ACUCAGGCUCUGCCCAUUUGCAGGGAUUCCGAGUUAAUUAAUCUGGGUGGGGUGGUUUUAUCUCAACGCGCUUCCUUCUAAUAAGUCGCCAAGGUUGGGGAUCGCCAUAGCCCCCCAAGGCAAGUUUGGGAAGCAUCGCCAUGCGCUCUUUCCUGGGUCCAGGCCAUGGGAAGGAAACGGGAGUCAACCCGCCCCCGGAAACCUGAAGCACUGCGUCAGAACCGAACGCCCGGAGCCGCCCGCCCCUGAGUCCAGGCUGAUUCCUCAGGCCGCCGCCGUCCGGGUCGGUUUUGAGACGUGGGCGGUGGACCGCUUCUCAGACCCGCCACCCGCCUCCUGCAGGGAUCUUCCUCCUCCCGGGCUAAGGCUCAGGCUGGCUCCUGCCAGCACAGCGCGCGCGCACACGGGGGAAAGCUUUGAAAAAAUGACGGCGUAGACGAGCUCACCGGCGGCGGGGCUGCGGAGCGGUUGGAGUUGACUCCCUGCAGCAGGGAAUCCCUCGGUCCCACGCCCGCUCCCCGCCCGCAAGCUGCGGCACUGAAGGCCAGGGACGAGGGCAGCGAGCGCGCCGCCCGAGGGCAGUGAAGACUCAUUUGGGAAUUAAUGAUUAAGUAAGACUUGCACAAAGUAAUGAAGGAGCAGUAAGAAGGCCAAGAAAGAAUACCGCUGGCCAUCAAAGAAGUCGAUGACCUGCAAAUGGAAAUAGUGGUAGUCCAAAGUGUUUUGAAAGACUUUUCUACAAAUUGGUCCUUUUGAAAGUGUUUUCAGAGAGACCUUUUCAAAACCUGGAACUGAAUCUCAGAGUGUGCCUGAGGGAUCUCCAACCGGGCACAAGCUCUCCGUGUAAACAGAAGUCCACUGACCCUGGACGGUAUUAUCUGAGACACCGAAGAGCUGAUUGAAAGUUCUCUGUGCUUCAGAAGCACACAUUUGGCACAGGGACCUUCAUGCAUCGCUGACCUUCUCUGUUUUCUUAGGCUGGUCUGGUUCCCCAAAGAAGAACCCUGAAGCCUCCUGCUGAGGAUUUAAGCUGGAUGCAGGGCCUGUGAGCUGACGGGAUCAGAGUUCAAGUGGAUGUCUCACCCUUAAGUGUGCUUUGUGGUUCUUUAAUCCUGUCGUUUUCUGGUUGGCACCUUGCUCCCACCCUCCCUCGAGCUAUGACUGGGGUCCCUGAGUGCAGAUCUUCCCUGCCUCAGUGUCUCCAGAAAGUACAUCUCCUAGUCUGUGGGACACGGGGGUCAGUCGGCCAGCUCUGCUGGCUUGGCAAGGGACCUGGGGCUCUGCUUCUACUUGGACGGCCCCUAAGCCCAGCCUGUGGUGGCCCCAGAGAUGCCCCCAGUCUGCCAUUCCCAAGCCUUUCUGGGAUGCUGCUUCAGCCAUCUCACCCUGCUGAUGGCCCCCCACCUGGAGACGGGGUUCCUGCUUGCUCUCCUCUGCUGAGUGGAUAACCUCUUCCGUCUUCCAAAGCUCGGUCGCUCUCUCUUCUCUCCAACUCUUUGAGUGUUUUAUGGUGAUUAUUAGGAUUCCUUAUGGUAGGGUCUCAGGAGGGCGUGCAGAUGACCCUGAGGGUCCGCCGUGUCCAUGAGCGAUCAGCCCUG
ensembl:lncRNA